rnacentral:tRNA from 1 species
CCAGAUGGCUCAGUGGUAAAGAAUCUGCCUGCAAUGCAGACGACCUGGGUUCAAUCCCUGAGUCAGGA